CAGUCGCCGCGGGAAUACGUAGGGUGCGAGCGUUAAUCGGAAUUACUGGGCGUAAAGCGUGCGCAGGCGGUUAUAUAAGACAGAUGUGAAAUCCCCGGGCUCAACCUGGGACCUGCAUUUGUGACUGUAUAGCUAGAGUACGGUAGAGGGGGAUGGAAUUCCGCGUGUAGCAGUGAAAUGCGUAGAUAUGCGGAGGAACACCGAUGGCGAAGGCAAUCCCCUGGACCUGUACUGACGCUCAUGCACGAAAGCGUGGGGAGCAAACAGGAUUAGAUACCCGUGUAGUCCCUGUCUCUUAUAC
rnacentral:rRNA from 1 species